rnacentral:rRNA from 1 species
UACGGAGGGUGCAAGCGUUAUCCGGAUUUACUGGGUUUAAAGGGUGCGUAGGUGGGUAGGUAAGUCAGUGGUGAGAUCUUCGAGCUUAACUCGGAAACUGCCAUUGAUACUAUUUAUCUUGAAUACUCUGGAGGUAAGCGGAAUAUGUCAUGUAGCGGUGAAAUGCUUAGAUAUGACAUAGAACACCAAUUGCGAAGGCAGCUUACUGCAUAGUUAUUGACACUGAGGCACGAAAGCGUGGGGAUCAAACAGG